UUACGUCCAUAUCACGUUAAAGCACCGGUUUUCAGACGAUCGCCAAAGUUAAACAACGUCGAGCCUGGUCAAUACCUAGACGGGUGACCGCUUGGGAAUACCAGGUGCUGUAAG